rnacentral:lncRNA from 1 species
CCGAGUAAUAUACUGCACCUCUAAAAAUAUGUCUAGGUAUUUUUAUUGCUCAAGUAUGAAGUACCGUCCUACACUAAUUCUAUAUUAUAGAUCUGUAUGGGUUGGAGUAAAACUAAAACAUUUCCAAUAAACCUAAAGGUAAACAAAUAAUAAAGGGGCAGACAGACAGACGGACCAAAUGUAAAUAGCCCGACCCAACAAGUGUGGUCGUUUCAAGUACGACACCACAAAAAUAACAGACUUUUAAAACAAAUCUAUUUCAGUAUUUCCAAACCCGUAGUUGGAUUUAUAUACCAAAUACACAAGCAAAUACCAGAAAAUAAAUAUCCAAAGGGAAGCUAAUUAAGACAACAUAAGACUCGUUCUGUCCUGAAUAUGCUUUCACUUAAAUAAUCUGUAAUCAGCAAACCAUGAAACGCAGACUCAUGGGAGGUUCAAAAUCUAGGUUGUUACCAAUACCAAGGGAAGUAAUCAGGACGAGUUUUAAUCGAAGGAUCAAUUCAGGCAAGGGACAAGGCGUUUCUCUGCAAUAAAAUAAUUCAGUAAGAUACAACUUUUAUUAGACAACACGCAUAUGAAUCAGCUGCACAUUUAAUAAGUUACAGUUUUGCGAGUCAAUGGUCUAUUUCUGCAGUCUAUAACAAGAUUUCUUAGACCAAGAAAAUAAAUUCUUUCAGUAUCUAACUUUCUUUAACGACUCACUCUGCCGUUCUGAUCAGGGCUUGCAUAUGGAUUUCGCUUGUUAACACUUUUAAUACUUAAAUUUACCGUCCUUAAGUUCAAGUCAUAGAUUUGAGUCACUCACGUGAAUGCCAACAAAUAAUGACUCCGAACUUUUACUUGCUUUAACCCGCAAGUUAUAAAUAACUUUAACCUUAACAACUGAACAGCUGAACAGUUAACCGAAUCUCGUUAUUCGCCAACUGACAACUUUUAUUCAGUUCAAAGAACUUUUCAAAAACUCAACUCAUAAUUUAACCAGCGAACCGCUUUCUAAAUAAUUCACGCCUCAACACGUAAAUAUUCAAAGUUUUCCGCUAAAUCUCCAAUGCAAACCGUGAUCAAAAACCAGCCAGUUUUAGUCACUCAAAAUAUGUACAUGAAAAUCAUAGGAGGGGGAACUUCUUAC